CAGGGUUUGCAGAAUCAACUGGCUUCUAUGUACCAUCAUAUAUCGGGUAUAUAUUUAUGCAAUAUUGGCAGAUCAUUUCAAAGAUACAUGUACUUGUAGAACAUAUACAAAGUCUGAAUAUUGUAGCACUAUGUAAUAUCAGUUUCAGGUCAUCAAGAUCGAAAAAAUCGAUGUAUAUAAAAAGGCAACUUGAGAAAGAAGUUAAUACUUUAACUCCAGCUAUUGCUAAAAAGCAUAAACCCAAAUGGCAAUUGUGAAAACACUAAUUCUGGACGCUUUGGGUUAGAACUUCAGAGUGAUGAAGCUUCUAAUGUAUAUAUCGGAUUUUCCCUGGCUAGUGCUGGAGAUAGAGAGGGUGGAAGAAAGUCCAGGCCGGAACCAAUAUCAGGACAAAAAUAAGAUGUGCGUGUGGUAAAAAAUGUUUGUUAUUUAAUUAAUAUAUGUGGGUAUUGUUCAAGUAA